GUCCACGCCGUAAACGAUGAGAACUAGGUGUUGCGGGUAUUGACCCCUGCAGUGCCGUAGCUAACGCAUUAAGUUCUCCGCCUGGGAAGUACGGUCGCAAGACUAAAACUCAAAGGAAUUGACGGGGGCCCGGCACAAGCGGUGGAGCAUGUGGUUUAAUUCGACGCAACGCGCAGAACCUUACCUGGGCUUGACAUCUACGGAACCUUCGUGAAAGCGAGGGGUGCCUUUAGGGGAGCCGUAAGACAGGUGCUGCAUGGCUGUAGU
rnacentral:rRNA from 1 species